GAUUUUGGACUGUGCCAGGGAGUGCCAGGCGGUAAGAACAGAAUUUCUGCAGAUCAGGCCCGUCAAGGGCACCUGGAGGGCACAGGUGGGGACAGGAGCUGCACAAUGCCAGAUCCCAGUGUUUUUUGUGCUCCAGAGAGGGGCUAGCCAAGUCAUUCCAGGCAAGACCAAGUCAUCCAGGCGUCAGUGAGGGUGCUGGCUACCUCCCGGAAGAGAAGAGAGACGAACAGAAGAGAAGACGAGAGAAAAGUUGUCCGGAGCUAGACGUGCCUAAGGAGCCUGGUGUUCCCAAGGCUGCGAGAGACAGGGUUUUGCUGUGUUGCCCAAGCUGGUCUUGAACUCCUGGGCUUAAGUGAUCCGUCCGCCUGGCCUCCCAAAGUGCUGGGAUUACAGGCGUGAGCCAGUGCACCCAGGUGGGUUUUCUCUUUUAUUAAGUUGUAAGAGUCCUAUAGCUAGAAUAGAUACAAGAUUCUUAACAGAUAUGUGAUUUGCAAAAUACUAUCCCAUUCUUGGGUUGUCUUUUCACUUUCUUGAUAGUGUUCCCUGAAGCACGAACACUUUCAUCUUUGAUGGUGUUGACUUUACUUUUUCUUUUGCCACGUGUGCUUUUGGUGUCAACAUCUAAGAAACCACUGCCUAAUCCAAAGUCACACUUGACUCAAGUAUUUUCUUCUAAGAGUUUUAUAGUUUACCUUAUACAUUUAGAUGGUGAUUCGAGUUAAUUUUUUGUUUAUGGUAUGGGGAAGGGGUCCAACUUCACUCUUUCACAGCAGGACAUCUGGAUGUUGGUGAAGAUGAUUCUUUUCCCUAUUGAACUGUCCCUAUUGAGUUGUCACUCAACUCUAAAAUCAGUAAGAGUUUAUUUCUGGACUCUCAGUUCUGUUCAGUUGCUCUAUUCUUAUGCCAGAACCAUUGUCUUUAUUACUGUAGCUUUGUAGUAAGUUUUGAAAUCAGAAAGUAUAAGUCCUCCAACUAUGUGUUUUUCAAGACUGUUUUGGUUCUCCUGGGUCCCUUGAAUUUCCAUAUGAGCUUUAGGAUUAGUUUGUCAAUUUCAGUAUUAAGAAAAAGUCAGCUGGGAAUAAUAGGAAUUAUAUCAAAUCUUUUGAUCAAUAAGAUUUUUUUUUUUUUUUUUGAGAUGGGGUCUGACUGUGUCACCCAGGCUAGAGUGUAAUGGCAUGAUCUCGGCCCACUGCAACCUCUGUUUCCGGGGCCCAGGCGAUCCUCCCACCUCAGCCUCCAGAGUAGCUGGGACCACAGCAUUGGAAUGAGAAAACUUAUGUAAAACACAGCUCCCACGUACUGAACAUCUACCGGAUAUAUGCCAGACACUAUGCAACAUGGAAGGCUGAAGCUGGAGAUAAGUUUGUUGCUGUUAUUUUCAUUGUUGUUUGCUUG